GCCAUCCUUCUUCCCUUUUAAAGGCCUUUCAAAUUCGCCCAUUUUUCAAUACCUCAAUUUUUCAUUUCAUUGGCACUUUAAAUACUGUUCAGUUCUAGUAUUUUGAGUGUGGUUUCUUCCUUUAAAUUGCAUGUACAGAGCAGUUGGAUUGAAUUGGAUGUCAUGAGACCAAAAUUAUCUGAGAUAACGUAAAUGACAUUUCCAUGAGAAGAAACUUAAAAAGCUGAAUGAACGGAUAAAAAUUCAAAAGACUAUAUCAUCAUGGCUAAUUUCUGAUAUUGUUUUGUAAAGUACCAUCAAAGCUCACUUGCCUGUAUUACCCCAACCUCCCUCAUAAGUUGCAUUGUUCUAAAGAGAUUUUGUUUUGGGUGUAAUUGUUCAUUUACAGUACUUGCACAGCUCAAGCAAAUCAAAUUGAUUUGAAGACUGCAUUAUUUUUCAACAAUUUAUCAUGUUGCUUCCUUAGAACAAAGCACAUAGUGACCUGAUCCAAGGGCUCUCCGCAGCUUACUGUACGUAUAUAUAAUAGCGCAAGGUCCUCAAAGGAGAGGGUUCAAAUUCUGAGUUCUGUGGCUCCCCAUCUUGGCAAUUUAUGCUGAAGGACAAUUUCAGCUACAGUAUGUCAAGUUCAUUGCGGUAGUAAGUAUAAAAUUACUCAUUCAAGCUCUUCUACACCACCACCAAUAUGGAACAGCAGCAACAUCUUCAAAAGAGCAAGAAACAACAACUAUCUGCACUAGUCCAGAACAGUUGGCAUUCUUAGUUGAGUUCUUGCACAGCACUGAAUGUACAGAGAGGUCAUCCUUUAAGACAACUGACUGUAGCAGAAAGGGAAGAACAUGGCCCAGUGAUAUUCUUGGUGGC